AGCGUAAUGAGCGGCUGACAUGGUCAGAAUCUAUAAAGGAACUUGGUGCUGCUUACUAUCUCCACCGCUGUGCCGUUGAUGUAGAGUGGAGCGUGGCUGGACCGGUGCUUCCUGAAGUCAACGAUGAUCUCCUGCGGUCGGAUGCAAGCCUGGUUCAGGGAGGAGGACGCCCCUGCCAUGCAGAGUCCCCAGGGAUUGUACCAACUAGUCCUUUCAACAAAAAAAAAAUUCCAGGCCCCCGGGCCUUGAGUUUGACACCUGUGAACUAAAUGAACAUCCUCCAAGACUGGUUUUUCAAGCCGGUGUUGCCAUGGCGACAGGGGGAUGAGUUUGGACAGAGGGGGGGUGGAGAUGGCGGCCAUUUCGCACGCAGCCUCCCUCCCCCCUCCCCGCAAAAAUGGACGAGUCCGCUUUAGCCACAAUCCUCCGCUCUUGUUCCUGGGAUGUGGCUCUUAUUUUUCUGUGACUCAUCUUUUCAGGCCAAGUCUGACGCAUGGGCAAAGGGAGAAAAGGAGGUAUAGAGAGUGAAAAAGCGGCAGUCAUGGUGGAAUUGGGGAGAGAAGAGGUGGGUGUGUGUUUGUUUUGCCAUAUUGGGUGUCCCUUGAGGAUCUGCAAGCUGAUGGGAGGGAAAUGGAUUAGAGACCUGCUGUGGAGGCUCCAUCAUUACAUUACCAUCAUGACUGACGCUCAUGUUUCAACACAAAGGCUCUAUUCAGCACACAGGAGAGCAAGUAGUUCCCACAUGUGUAUGUCAGCCAGGCAAAUCCAUGUGGUCGGAAUCUUUGCCGUUGUGAUUACACAAAGAAUCAAACAGGAGAUUGUUAAUUAUGUGAAUUAUUUACACAAAAAUUCCAUCAUCGGUUUUUUUCUUACAACCUCAAAAUGGUUAUGCCCUUAAGGUCGUACAAGUUCAACCAAAACGUGGCCCUUGCAGUACAGUGAGCAUAGCAAGAAGUUACACCAAAGAUGUGCAGAAUGUUGUGGGGAAAAAAACUGAUCAAUAUUGUUGAUUAAUGCCUUUCAAUGCUGAUGACAAACACCAAUCCUCUCUGGCUGAUUAUAAAAACUAUUAUUUUUCGUCCCCCGGCUGACAAGCGGCUAGCAGCUAAUUAUGUGUCUCCAUACGCAGUGUGGAGUCCCUCCCCUAAACUAGUAAUAGACUCCAUUACGACAAAUUAACUUAAUUUUUUAGUAUCUUACAUAUCAUUAUCAAGUAUCAUUAUCACAGGGGGACGAGUUACAGCAGAAAGUAAACUGUUAACAUAAAAAUUAACAAAUAGCAAAAUUGUCAUGACCUGUCACUGCUGGUCAUGUUUCGUUUCGAUUUUGUUGUAGUUCUGUUUAUAGUGUUUAUUUAUUUAUUUGUAUUAGGACAAUGUAUAUUAAUCAACAUAGAGCAACAAUGUAAAUAUGUCGGAGUUAGCACAAUAGCUCAUUUUUAUCAGUUGUCCUGUUUAUUUCUAUUGUCAGUGCUCCUUUCCUCCCUUAACUUCUCAUUGCUAGGAGCGCUGAUUGAGCACACCUGUCGCUGAUCACUAGUCUGAGGACUAGUUAUGCCAGUCUUGCAGGAUUAUUGUUUGCUUUACGCAACUGUUCACGUUGGUUUAUAGACUGCUUCAUGUUCAUUUCAUGGUUGUUUUACGUGGCUCUUAUGCUAUGCUAAGACAUUGUAGUUUGCCGCCUUAUGCUUGACUUGCGCUUGCCAGCAGGCUUGAUCCAUGAUUUGUUAGUGUCGAUACCAAUAGUAUCAGCAUAUGAUCGAUACUAGGGUGAAUUCCAGGGGACGGCGUGGCGCAGUUGGUAGAGUGGUUGUGCCAGCAACCUGAGGGUUCAUGUUUCAAUCUUCAGCUUCUACCACCCUAGUCACGUCCGUUGUGUCCUUGCUCCUGAUGGAUCGUCGUUAGCGCCUUGCAUGGCAGCUCCCGCCAUCAGUGUGUGAAUGUGUGUGUGUGAAUGUGGAAAUAGUGUCAAAGCGCUUUGAGUACCUUGAAGGUAGAAAAGCGCUAUACGAGUAUAACCCAUUUAUCAUUUCAUCAAUAUUUUUGUUUUGUUUUUGUCAAUAUUUACAAACUUGGGGAAUAAUUUCAUGGACACGAGGACUUUU